AGAUGCUGAUAGCAUUGCUCGAUAACAUAUAUGGGAAAUGGCUGGACAUAAUUUCUUCUACAAGAGGUGCUUUGAGAUUUGGUUUUUGGCUAAUCUGAUAUGAUCAUGUUGUUCAGUUGUUGAAAUUUGAUGUGAAAGUCAUCAGGGGAGUGGUUGUUCUUGAAAGUUUUUUUCCCCCUCUUUAUGUGAUGAUAUACAGGAAGCAUUUAAGUAAUAUUGAUUCUCUUGCUUGACAUGCCCUGGUGGUGAUGCCCUUGCUUCUGAUUUGAUGUGGAGGGAAAUCAAACUUUUGGCUGCAUCAAAACCGGACAUCGAAUCAAUGUCUGACGUGGCAGCAAGUGGAGGAUACUAUAUGGCAAUGGCAGCAGAUGCCAUUGUUGCAGAAAAUUUAACCUUAACUAGUUCCAUUGGAGUUGUCACAGGUAAGUUUAACCUGGGAAAACUGUAUAAGAAGAUUGGCUUCGACAAGGAAAUCAUAUCAAGGGGAAUUUGCAGAGGUUCUUGCAGCUGAACAAUGACCCUUUAAACUAGAGGAAGCUGAACUCUUUGCUAAGUCUGCACAGAAUUCGUAUAAGCAAUUUCAGGACAAGGCAGCUUCUUCCAAAUCAAUGACUAUAGAAAAAAUGGAGGAAGUUGCACAAGGGAGAGUUUGGGCAGGUAAAGAUGCAGCUUUAAGGGAUUUAGUUAAUGCUAUUGGUGGACUUUCUCAGGUUGUUGCAAUAGCAAAGCUCAAGGCAAAUAUACCACAAGA